GCUGCAUAAACUAUUUUUAGGGUAGUGGCUCACAGAAUGCAAAGGGUUAAGUGUCUGGCGCACAGCGAGGAAAGCAUGAAUGUGUGUGCAUGUGUUUAAAUGUGGAGGACAGAGAGUGAGUGAUGAGAGAGAAAAAGAGGGGAAGGGGGUAAGUAUAAAAAUAUAAAUUCUGUCUGGAGUGUGAAAAUGUUUGAAGAUGGGAGGGAAUACAGACAAAACAGGCACCCAAAAGAAGGUGAGAGGAAAAAAAGAGUGCGCAAGAGAGUAGGGUGGGGAUGAAGGGGGAGGGAAGGAAAUGAAGAGAGAGGGAGAGAGAGAGAAAGAGAGAGAGAGAGAGGGGGAGGAGAAGGAAGCGGAGCGCAUUCACAAUUUUCAUUCAAACUGACACAGCCUGUGUGUCCCGGUUUGCACUCCCCACUAGCUCUCUCUUUCUCUCUACACACACACACACACACACAUACAGAGAAUGAGAAACACCAGACCGUCUGCAGUUAAGUUAAUAGCGGCUAGAGGAUGGCUUCAAGAAGAGUGAGAGACCGGGACGAGAAAACCUGAGGAGACUGGCGGAAGGGGUGAGAAUAGAAAGAGGAGGUAUGGAAUUCACAAAGAGAUGUCAGGGUGGAAGGUGAGUAGGGAGAGGACGAAGAGUUUUAAAAUAGAAGAGAAAAAGGGAGGUGGAGGAAUGCAUGGGGUUGGACGGCCGAGCUCGACGUAUGGAGGGGGCAGAGAUCGACUGGAGCCAGACUGGGUGUAUGCAUCUGAGAGAGUCACUGUGGUUGCAUGAGUUAAUUUUCUAAACUUGUAUGGAACACAAAGAAGAUAUUAUUCGAAAUAUCUUCUCUCAAAGAAAGUCAUACUGGUUCGGAAUAACAUGAGGGUGAAAAACAUGAAGGAAUUGUUAUUUUUGGGUGAACAAUCCCGUUAAAAAAAAAAGCUUUAUUCAUGGUGCCAGUGGUCUAAAAACCACAGAGUCAAAGGAAAACCCUAGAACCAGCAAACCAGCUCACUGACCAGUGUGACCCGUGCAGACAAAGACAGAGUCAACAUUACUCACAGCACAGUGUUCUUCCUCAGGCACAGUGUGCAUGUAGCUAAAAAUGGUCUGGGCGAAUCUAAGAGGUGGAUCACCAGGGAAACUGUCAUGACUCUACAGAGGAUAUACAAGUGUAUUGAACUCCUCAAAAGAUAAAGCUUUGAAUUGAGACUAAAUAAAGGAGCUCUCGAGGAACCGUGCGCUAUUAUUAGGUUCCUUGUGCGCAAAGAGAGCACAGUCUUUAAUAAAUGAACCCAUAUGUUUUGGGGUUCUGUGACAGAGCUGUUCCCACUCUGUGAACAAGAGCUUCGCUUUACCUCCCAGCAGCAAGCCAUUAGAGAACUACAGCUGUGAGCAAGAAUCACAAUCUUCAACCAAUUACCACCACAAUGGUCCUAUACCCAAACAAUAAUAGGUUUAUGCAGCAUGCUGUGUAACAUCAGAACAUAACGAUAUAUAGCUGGGAGUCUUCGAUACAGUGCAUUUGUGGCGGCCAGUGGGGUCGGCAGCCAAUUAGAGUGUGACUCCAGUAAUUGUGUUGGCCGGAUUGGUCUAAAGGCAGGGUAAGUGAGACUGAUUGGAGCAGUCAGCUGUCUGAUCUGAUUGAAGACUCCACUGUAAUCAGCAGUGCAGAACUCUCCACUGCACUCAAAAGAUUGUUCUCUGCCAGUCAGAAACAUAUGAAACGUACUUAGUUUACUACACAGAUCUAUGUAUUGUUGUUCCCUCUGAAAAUCAUUUGUUUGUUUGUUGCAAAUAGUGCUUGCCUGGUUUACAGACAAUUCUGUCAAACAAGAAUGCAGAAUGUAUAUUUCAUUUCCUUAGUCUUUUUAUUUCUAUAUGCUCCAUUUUUAUUUCUUAUUCAGGCAACUUUAUUUUUUGUAUUCCCUGUAAUCUUAAUUAUCUUCUUUAAGCACUUCUGAGUGUCUCAAUCUGCUCUCUACUUUAGUAGUCAGUACACUAGCAAGGUGCUCAGCCAUUUUUAGAGUCAGCAUGAAAUUACAUGAAUUUUACCCAUUUUGACUGCUAGCUCACAUUCCAUUUUGAAUGCUAUGCCAAAAUCUCAAAAUCCAAUCAACAUCUGUGUGACAGAAUCCCUAAUGUGCAUGAAAGGUAUUAAAAUGGUUUUAAAAAGUGUUAAGAAGUAUUCAAAUAAAUAUUUAUUUUUAAUUGCUUUAUUUUAUUUGUUUUUUUUAUGUAUAUUAUGCAAUUUAUCAUUUGUCCAUGCCAUAACAUAUGUACUGUACAUUAUAUUUUUUGCUUAAUUAAAAGAAUGGUUUCAUAAUGGCUCUGUCAUUUUUACAACAAGCAUGCAUGUGUGCUAUACAAAAAUGAUUUCAAUAAAUACCAGCUACACUUUAAUGUAAAACCUCAAAUUCAUGUUAACUGUAUUCUCAUUCAUGAUAGAGGGAACAGAAUUAAACAUACCCAUGAAUUUAAAAUAAACAUAUGUUCUCU
ensembl:lncRNA